CAAAUUAGAGCUUGAUAAAGUAUUUCAUUUACAUUGAAAUGAUAUUGAACUAUUCAAUUAAUUUGA
rnacentral:tRNA from 1 species